AAGGGCAUAAUUUAAGAGUAAAAUAAUAAUUUUCUAUAUUAUAAAUUUAGGUUCUAAUCUCGAUACCUUUA
rnacentral:tRNA from 1 species